UCAGGUUGAACCAUUGUACAGGGAAGCUUUUAAAAGCUUCACGCAUAUGAUUAUUUUAACAUUCAGCAAUGGGUCUAUAGUGACAAAUAGCUACCUCUAUAUGAAUUCUAGUGGGUUAAAGGUUACUGUGUCCAAAGUGAAAAAAACUCUUCUCAAUGGACUUAGUAACUUGACUUUUCCUGUCAUUCCAAACUCCAUCCGUGUCACCCAGACUCUUGGUAAUUCCAUGCCACCAGUGAUUACCAGUUCACUUUCCAUGAUAUGGAUGUCUCUUCUAUCAUUUUUGCUUUCAUGGUCAUUACAUUUCUAGCUCUAGACCACAUU